rnacentral:lncRNA from 1 species
AGCUAUUGAGAGUGGCUGCUGAGGGGUGGUCCCCAUCAGCAGUGGCCUUCAGAAGAGACCAGGCAGCCUGGGGUAGGAGCACGGCCUAGGCAACUGGAAGGCAGGGGCUCCUAAGAUUCCAUGACACCCCCACCUUCCAAUUCUGUUAUUGCAACUCCAGACCGUUACCCGGCGUGCAGGGUCCUCUCUCCAUCACUCCUGUCUGACUCUGAGCUACAGGCAGUCCCUUCUGCUCUGAGUUCUGGCAUCCUGAAUGUUGUUUUUAUGGUUAUAGACUCUCAAGUGUUGUGGAGUGUUGAUGAAGUUGCUCCCAACAAAAACCAUGAAGAUGAUGAAAAUGAAGAAGGACAAGAAUCACUGAUCCCCAGCUCCCACCCUGGAGGCCUGUCACCCAGGGCCUUUGAGAGGAAACUUGAGUUUCCAAAGGUCAGAGCUGCAAGUUUUACAAACACAGCUGCAGCCAAGCACUCAGGUGACCAGUUAUCUGCCACUGCAGCUGGACCAGUUUGA